UCGCUCCUUAUCCUUGUCCUAAUCUCCAUACCGUAUGUGUAGCUGGUCUGUGUCGGUGUACCUGUCUUAAAGGACCACCAAAACCAAACGAGCCAUUGAACUAACAUGUAAUUACAUCUAUGUCAAGUGAAUUUUCUUUGACUACCUAUAUAAUUAUAAUAAUAAUAGAAUAAUUUUGUUAAACAAUUUGUUUAUUUGCUACGCGCAUAUACCAUGGUCCACAAGAAAAAAAUAUAUUAACUACUAUUUAAAAAGCAAGAAAAUAUUAAAAAAAUAUUGGCAUUUAUUUUGAUUCAUUUGCAACCUCACUAAUUAAUUACAAUCAAAUACAAAAAUUGAAUCGUUAUUUAGUUAAUAAUAUCAAAUCAUGAAUCAAAUGAGUUGAAUUUCAGUUAAAAAUUGAGCUUAUUAAAUAAAUGAGUCAAGUAGAGUUCGACUCAUUAGGUGUAGGUAAAGGUGGAAACAUGCCAUAUCACCUACCGAGAAUCUAUUACUUGGCGUAUAAUAGACUAGGUUAGACCAUACUUUUUUCACGAAGAGAUCAGAUUCAGACUUUCAAAAAAGCUCAUUUAGUUCAACAAGACAGACUUUAGGUCACCUAAAAGGCCUAUUAAGUUUAACAAGCAACCCUAUUUAAUUAUAUUAUAUAAGAAUAUUGAAAUUAUAUUCUUUUAAUAUAAGUAUUAUUAUUAUUAUAUACGUAAUAUUACUAUAAAAUGUAUAUAAAAUAUAAUUUAAUUAUUAUGAUUAAAUAUGCCUAACUAAAAGUAGGCCUAUAAGCCCAUUUAAAUGUAGAUAUGAUAGCCUAUUUGAUGAUCAUAUUGUAUAGUAGGCCUUUAAACAGACUAACAGGCCAAGCCAGUCCUAGGCUUUGAAAUUUUUUUUAAACAAGUCAGACUCAGACUCCUAUAUACUGUAUAGGUUGAGUCUAUUUAAUGCAAAGUCUGGUCUGGUCUGACCUGUUUCCAUCCUUAGGUGUAGGGUUGACUUAAUUAUAUAUAUACAUAUACAUACAAUUAAAAAUGUUAAUCAUUAUUGUGUUUUCUCCCUCCUUAAGUUAAGGUUCGGUAUUGGAUAUAAGACUGAACUUCACUAUCUUGAUGUGAGGAUGACAGACUAUGAUUGAGUAUUAUUUCUUCUUUUAAAAUCUUAAAAUAAAAUCACUCAACCAACAAAUAUUUUUCUAACUAGAAUUAUGUAGUUUUAAUUUUCUAUUACUCAUGAAAAUACAUAGGAGUAAGAUAAAAUAAUCAAACAAUUAUAGAGUAUAUAAACAAUUCAUGCGACUCAUGAGUAUAACACCCCGUUUUUGUAACUAAAACUUAGAACUUUAUUAUAAAAAGUUGAUUAAAGUUCAUAGAAAAUUAAACUCAAUGUUAGAAAAUCAUAGUAAAUUUAUAAACUUUUACUAACAAGUUCAAAAUGUGGAAACAUUGAAUACUACCUCAACCCAAAAAUGAGGUGUUAUGUUCGACCUUAAAACCAGGAUCUAUAUAAUUAUCCCUUUUAAUUAUAUAUCUUUAAAAAAUUAUUAAUUUAAUUUUAUGAACAUAAUUAUAAAAAGACAUAUGUGCAAAAAAUUUAUAAAUAUUUUUCAUAAAAUGUUACUUAUACAAAAAUUAGUUAAAAAAUACAUAAGUUUUUCUUGUAUCAGAGUCAAUAAUUCCAAUAUAGACAAAAUACUUAACUAAACAUCAACUAAGUUCUUACGGUCUAUAUUUUUAUCAAUGAACAUUUAUAGUGCAACUACAACAAACAUGUAUAUAUACAUAAUACAAAUAAAAUAAAAGAUAAAGAAGUAAGUAAGAACCAACUAUCGUGAUUACAUCAUGAAAUUAUACAAAGAAUAACAUUAAAGUGACAACCUAUAACACAAAUAUAAUCAACCAAUGUUAAACAUAUGCAAAUAGAAUAUAAAGGUAGUGUCUUAUACGACAUGAUAUUCACAUUCAAAUUAAUAUAUAUUUAAUGCAAUGCUGAUGCAUGUCAUCCAACCAAUCUUCACCAAAAUGCUGGAAGGCCAAGAUCCUAAUGGGAAAACAACUGAGAGUAUAAAUAUUCUUAACAAUAUAAAAAACGAUAUCAAUUAUUUUCAUUUACCUCUUUAGAGGUACUUACAUGAUAAACCUAGUCUUUUUCAGGAAUUCUAUCUACCGAUCAUAAAAUGUGCAAGAGGGUGUUAGAGAUCGCUUAAUUUGCAUGUAGGACUAUCCUGGUCCUAUCAGUUAUAAGACCUGAUCCUCACUAGACCAUCCCACCUAUGCAAUCCCUCAAGGCUUCUUGACGAAUAAUCGUUAUUUCCACCCUUAUCCAAAUCUACAAUGAUAUUUUUACCAUUGUAUCUUUUCAUUUUCUUGAACUUCAACUACGUGAAUGCAACACAUGCACACAAAAUGAAGUUAGCCCAUUAAGUAUUUUAGUCCAGGUUUUAUCAAUUUUUAUUUCAACAAGUAUCACUUGAGUUCGUCAUCUCAACCCCAAUGUAUAUUUAUCAUGCCAUUUCCAACGGACGAGCUCAAAUCGUUAACUUUGUGAUUAAAUUUCAUUGGCAAUGCCCCAAAUCUCACUACAUUUUCAAGUGUGUGAAUAGCCAUAGACUCUAAACUAAUACAAUAUUUCUAAAAAUAUUACCUAAGUUAGUUUUCUCAGCCCAAACGCAUUUUUACUAUGACAUGUCCUUAACGAUCCAAGAUCAACGAGAAAAUCUCCAAAUAUCACUACAUUUUACAUUGUAAAACUAAUUUUCCUAAUCCUAUAAAUUAAUUGAUUUUUUAUUCUCACACUUAACAUUUAUUUUUAAUCCCCAUAAAAGUUUAUAAUGCCCCUCAUAACAAACUUAUGACUUUCUCAAAUCCACUCAUGCCCCAAUUUCAAAGCUACAUACUUUCAUACCAACACGACAAUCAACAACGAAAUGAUUAUAAUUGAGAUAUUUCCAAAUUAAAAUAUUUCCACAAAUAAUACAAAAUAUUUAAUAACAUUACAAUAUCAAAUAAACCAAAUAAACAAUUAGACAUAUAAAACAAUUACCAAAUUAUCACAAAUAUUCACAUGUAUUCAAAUAUAAUUACUUAACAAUAUUUCAUGAUGAUGUAAUAUGAUAAGUGAGUACAUAUCAUUGUGGUAAAUAGAAAUAAAUUGAUACACAUAUAUUUUCAGCAAAUCAAACAUAUAAGACUCCAUAUAUCAUCAUGAAAAGAUUAAGGACUCUUAUAUGGAAAACAAGUUUCCGUGAGAGUUCCUAAUCUAUAAAAUUCUCUGACUUUAGAGGGCAUUAGAGAGAACAACUUCAAUGAAAUAAUCUAAAACCAUGUUGACCUUCUCCCUCACCUUAGGCACUUUAUAUUAUAUCUUCAACAUCGUUGCACCAUCAUGAACAUCACAUAUGCGUAGACACUUAUCAAACAAUGACCAAACCACAACCAAUAAAAAAUACAAGACACUCUAACAUAUUACUGAAAAAGACAUAAAACAACAUGACACUUUUCUAAUGAAAAAACCAAUUUCAAUUAUAAACCAAACCUCUGUAAUAUCUUAAAACUCUUAUAAGAAUAACUUAUUUAAAUAGUAAUUACUAUAAUGUUGACCAAAUCACACAGAAAAUAGAAAACAUGUUUUAGGUAGCCGUGCGCAAUUUUUAGGCUUUAUUGGUUUACAACUAGAAGGUUAUAAGGUGUAGAUACAUAAUGGCUAUGUAAUGAAUGAAUCAUCAAAACACGUGAAACCGUUGGAGAAAAAGAAUAAUUUUAUUAAAGGCAUUCCUGAUUUUUAGUGAUUGAGACAUGGAGAACGUGCACACCUCCAAUACCUGUUUGAGGGAUUAUGUGACAAAAUGAAUAAUAUUUAAAGGAAAGACAUAGUGAUGAAAAAGGUGACCAAUAUGAAUAAUUUUCUUAUAUCUCUCUAUAUACAUUUACUGCACUUCUUUUCAUUCUUUCUCUAGACUUUGCAUACCAAAUAGAGCUCUUUAUAGCUCCAUAAAUAAUACAUCCAUUCUAUACUUCUUAUUCUCUUCAAUUUCUAUUUAGAUACAUUUCAUUAGUGCUUUCAUCUCACCAUGGCAGAAAAUACGAGAAUGAAAGAAAUGACGAUCAAGAGAAAUGCAGAAGUCAUCACUUCCAUUCAUGAGAACUUCCAAAUUCAAAUGGAACAAUUGGAGGCAACAACAUACUCCAGAUUUGAAAGAACAUAAGCAUGCCAAAGAGGAGCAGAUCUCACACUACAUCAAAUUAGUGAAGUUUUGAAUCAGUUGGUCCAAAAACAACCACAAUUGUGUUCCCAUGGUGUAGGAAACUCAAGCAGGACACCAUUCUAGGUCAGAAACAUUAAAUUGGAAUUCCUAAGGUUUGACAGAAAAAUGUGUAUGAUUGAAAUUUUAAGGCAAAACAGUUCUUUGGAUACUAUGAUACACCAGAUAAGGAUAUAUUAAUCAUCACUUCGGUGUAUUUGGAUCAAGAAGUAGUACAUUGGUUUCAAAUGAUACAGAGAACUCAACCUUUUAAUUCAUGGUUGGAAUUUACUAGAACUAUUUUGGCCCUUCAAUCUAUGAAUGUCCUAGAGCUACCUUAUUUAAGUUGACUCAAACUAACAAUGUUCGUGAAUAUAAUCUACAGUUCACAUCAUUAGCUAAUAGGAUCUAUGGAAUUAGUAAUGAUGCACUGGUAGAUUGUUUUUUCAGUGGGUUGCAACCAAACAUACGUAGGGAAGUCAUGAUUCAUACACUAAUCUCAAUUGUGAAAGCAAUGUCAUUAGCCAAAGUAUAUGAAGAGAAAAAAAAUACCCUAAAUACUAAACCAAACAAAUAUUCAACCCACACUAUACCAAUUUCAUAUCAAAACAUAACUGCCACAAACCCCACCAAAAUAGAUAUAUACCAGAAAUAUAAUCCACCCAUACUCAACACCCCACCCACAAGACCAAUGAACCCAUUACAAAAAAUAUCAACAUUAAAAGAAUUUCACCCGCUGAACUACAAUUGAGAAGGGAUAAAGGCCUAUGUUAUUGGUGUGAUGAUAACUUUUUUUUUAAUCACAAGUGUCCCCACAAACAUUUAAUGAUUUUGCAAUAUGAUGAGGAGGGAGAACCAACACUUGACACCAACAGGGAAAUCUCAGUCAUGAAUAAUGUAGAACGAUUAUCAAGAGAAGAGGAACAUCAUUUAUCCCUCAAUGCUAUGGAGGGGACAAAUGGAAUGGGCACUUUAAGAUUCUAAUGGAAAAUUGGCAGCAUAAAGGUACAAAUAUUGGUAGAUGGAGACAGUUCAAAUAAUUUUUUGCAACCAAUGAUAGCUCCAAUUUUCAAGUUACUAAUCGAGCCAGCCUUAUGCUUUAAGGUAUUGGUUGGAAAUAGACAAUCUGUGACAACAGAGGGAUUCAUUCAACAAUUACCUAUAUUGGUGCAAGGACAUGAAUUGAUGGUACUAGUGUACCUUCUACCAAUAGCUGGUGCAGAUUUAAUACUUGGAACAUCAUGGCUUGCAACCCUUGGUGCCCAUGUUGCAGAUUAUACAACUCUGAGCUUGAAAUUCUUUCAACAUGGACAAUUUGUGACCUGACAAGGGAAGAGACACAUGACCCCAACACAAGCUCAAUUGAACCAAAUUAGAAGAAUACACCAUACUGAUGCAAUUGCUGAAGUCUUUACCAUUCAGCUGAUGCAAAAUGAGGAACCAUAAGAUGUUCUUAAAGAACUACCAAGUGAUAUUGCACCAGAAUUGGCUCUACUAUUAUACACUUACAAAUCAGUUUUUGAAAGCCCAAGGGGAUUAACUCCACACAGAGAACACAUUCAUGACAUACACUUACAAGAAGGAACUUCCCUAGUCAAGGUGAGACUAAUGGUUCAAGAGAUGCUUGAUCAAGGAAUUAUUACAACUAACACUAAUCCUUUUUCUUCUCCAAUCAUAUUAGUUAAGAAAAAAAGAUGGAAGUUGGAGAUUCUAUACUAUAGAGCUUUAAAUGCUUUAACUAUUAAAGAUAGUUUUCUGAUACCUACUGUGGAUGAGUUACUAGAUGAACUUUUUGAUGCUAAGUUCUUCUCCAAAAUAGACUUGAGGUCAGGCUACCAUCAAAUAUUGAUACAACCUGAGGAUAGACAUAAAACAACUUUCAGAGCACACCAUGGCCAUUAUGAGUGGCUGGUAAUGUCAUUUGGGCUUACUAAUGCCCCUGUAACAUUUCAAAGCUUAAUGAACCAGAUUUUUCUACAUGCCUUGAGCAAAUAUGUGCUAGUAUUCUUUGAUGACAUACUUGUAUAUAACCCUACUUGGUAUGGACACUUAUGUCAUUUGGAAGCUAUUUUAAACACACUGCAGCAACAUGUGUUGUUUGCAAAAUUGUCCAAAUGCUCUUUUGGAGUGGAAUAGAUAGAAUAUCUAGGUCAUAUAGUUUAUGGAUCAAUGGAUAACAAUAAAAUUCAAGCAGUAUUACAAUGGCAUGUACCUAUCAAUAUAAAAGAAUUGUGGGGUUUUCUAGGAUUGACUGGAUACUAUAGAAGAUUUAUCAAGUCCUAUGCAAAAAUAGCUGCACCAUUAACUGAUCUAUUGAGGAAAGACUCUUUUUGUUGGAAUGUAGACAUCACAUCAACUUUUGUGCAACUGAAAGAGGCCAUGACCUUAGCCUAUGUUUUAGCUUUGCCAGACUUUAAUCAACCCUUAAUUUUGGAAACAGAUGCAUCAAGGACUAGUGUGGGAGCAAUACUACAUCAAAAUGGGCACCCAAUUGCAUAUUUUUCUAAGAAACUAGCACCAUGAAAUCAAAAGAAAUUUGCAUACUUUAGGGAAAUGUUAGCCAUUUCUGAGGCUAUUGCUAAGUUCAGGCACUAUUUAUUGGGACAUAAGUUCAUUAUUGGAACUGAUCAAAAGAUAUUAAGGAGCUUGUUAUAUCAAAAUUUGCAGACACCUUAACAGCAACAAUGGUUACAUAAAUUUUCGGGCUAUAGUUGUACAAUAGAAUACAAACCAGGGGAAUAAAAUUUAGCAGCUGAUGCAUUAUUAAGAGUUUUGCUUAUGGCAUGGUCAGAACCACAAAGUGAUUUUUUGUUGAAAUUGUUGAAGUUGCAAGAGAUUUUGAAGAGUUGUAUGUCUCAAAACAACUCAAAUCUGAACUACUUUAUAAUCAUAAAUAAUCAUUUUGGAAAGGAAGACUAGUGAUCCCAAAUAAUCAUAACUUGAUACAAUUAGUGCUACAUGAAUAUCACAAUUCUCUAACAGGGGGACACUCUGGUUUGACAUGAACCAAUGCUAGAAUUGUAUCUCAAUUCUACUAGCACAACAUGAACCAGGAUAUUCAAGACUUUAUUCAGAAAUGCCCCAUUUGCCAACAAGCAAAUGCGACACAUACACUACCAUUAUGAUUACUACAACCAUUACUCAUUCCAACACAAGUAUGGGAAGAUGUAGCCUUUGACUUCAUCACAUGAUUACCUAAUUCUUAUGGGUUUACUAUUAUCCUCGUAGUAAUUGAUAGAUUGUCAAAAUAUGCACAUUUUAUAGCACUCAAAAGUGAUUACACUAGCAAAGUUGUGGGAAAGGUAUUUAUGAACCCAAUUGUCAAAUUGCAUUGUCUACCCAAGUCAAUUGUUUUAGACAGAGACAAGGUUUUCACAAGCAAUUUUUGGAAGCAUUUAUUUCAGCUGCAAGACACAACUUUAGCCAUGAGUUCUGCAUACCACCCCCAAACAGAUGGGCAAUCAGAGGUAUUGAAUAAAUGUAUGGAAAUGUUCCUAAAGUGCUUCAUUUAUAAUAAUCCUAAAGCAAUGUACAAGGCAUUGGCAUGAGCUGAGUACUGGUAUAAUACUUCUCUUCAUACAAGUAUAGGGAUGACACUUUUUAGGCAUUAUAUGGCAGAGCACCCCGCCUCUCUAACUAGAUAUGUUCCUCAUGCAAAAGACUCAAUUGAGUUGCAAGAACAAAUAGUUGAAAGGGACAAAAUAUUACAAUAACUAAAAGAGAAUCUAGAGAAGUCACAACAGUAUAUGAAAAAUCAAGUAGACAAAAGGAGAAGGGGUGUGUGUUUCCAAGUGGAUGAUUUGGUUCUAGUGAAACUACAACCAUAUAGACAAAAAUCAGCUGCACUACGAAAGAAUCAAAAAUUGGGGAUGAGGUAUUUUGGUUCCUUUAAAAUCAUUGCUAAAAUUGGUAAUGUAGCAUACAAGUUAGAGCUUCCAGAACAAGUGAAGCUUAAUCCAGUCUUCCAUGUUUCACAAUUGAAGAUAUUUCGUGGCACACCAUCAGAAAGUUAUAUGUCGUUACCUCUCACAACCAAAGAAAUUGGACCACUGCUAAUGCCAAAGGAGAUAUUGGAUGUCGCGACCCGAUUUUCGGUUGGAAGACCGGCUCUACGACUUGGGAGGAGGCGAACUCGAUUUCUACCUCUCCCAAUUGAUUUGGAGUCGCCACUACGUUUUUUUUGCAGUUAAAACGUAGAAAACUCUAUAAUAAGCCCAAUUUGGAUAAGAAUGGUCAUUGAACAGAGAUUCUGAAUUCGGGAGUCGAUUACAGAUCGGGGAAGGUAUUACCACCCCGUCCGCCCGUAUUAAAACGGUACCCUCGCUAAUAACAUGAAUUUUUAUACCCUUAGAAAUUAUUCAUUUAAAAUUAUUUAUUUUUAUUAUUGAGCCUGUCAAUAUUGACUUUGGUCCUACGUACCCCUAUUAAGGGGAUCAAGGCUUACGUAGUUCUAGUUCGAAAAUUGUUUAGUUACUUUGGUUAAUUGUUAGUGAUUUAGAAAAUAUCGGUAAGUUUAGAAAUAUCAAUUUAUUGAAUUGGUUAAUAUAUAAAUGUUUUGAUUCAAUAAGACUAAUAGAUUAGAAUUGGUGUUGGUUGUAGACCUUCUCCUCAUUUCUAUGGGAGUUAGAGACGACUCGAACCAUGACCUCACUAUAAAAGUCUCAUAAAACUUGUUUGGUAAAAUAGCUUUUAAUUACUUAUAUAGAAUUAAUAGUUUAGAGACGGUGUUGGUUGUAGACCUUCUUCUCAUUUUCGGAGAAGUUAGAGACAACUCGAACCAUAACCUUACUAUAAGAAUUCCUUAAUUAAUUUGAUAAUAUAGUUUUAAUUAUUUAUGCGUAUAGAAUUUAAUGAUAAUUUUUUUUAUUAAUUAUAUAUGUAAGGAAUUGAUAGUUUAGAAACGGUGUUGGUUGUAGACCUUCUUCUCAUUUUUGGAGAAGUUAGAGACAACUCAAACUAUAACCUUACUAUAANNNNNNNNNNNNNNNNNNNNNNNNNNNNNNNNNNNNNNNNNNNNNNNNNNNNNNNNNNNNNNNNNNNNNNNNNNNNNNNNNNNNNNNNNNNNNNNNNNNNGGAGGCGUCAAUGGUGACUAAAGGUUGUUGAAGAUGGAAACCGAAUUGAUCCAGCCGGAAGAACCCAUUUCGGUGACGAUUCGUGAUGAGUUGCGGUAGUUCGCGAUGGUUGAGUUUGUGUUGUUUCCGAUGGCUUAUGAUGGUUCCGAAUCGGUAAUUUUUUUAUCGCGGUGGCUCACAGUGGUUCUGAGUCGGAGGUGAACUCACCUCUUUCUUUACUUCACCUUUGAUGGCUAAGGGAUCCGAAUCCCUAAUCUUACAAGAAUGAAAACAAACUCUUGAGUCUUCUCAUCCUCCUCAUCUUCGAUGGCAGCAAGGGUAAAGCGCGGUAAUCUCGUCUUCUUCUCCAUUUUUAUCGUGGCAGCGAAGGUUCGAUUCCUUUCGCCGGUUGCUUACGGUGGUUCAGAAUCGGGUAAUCAUCCCCUCAUUUUUCGUGACCCACUUCCUUCUACUUUUAUUUUUAUUGAUUCUCAGUUUUCUUACUUUUCUAUGAAUUUAGGUUGUUUCAGAGGUUCACUAAAGUGAGUGAAAGUCGCGGGCAUGGUCGGAGCUCAAAGAUACUUACUCUACGGUAGGGAUGGCAGCAUCGCCGGCUCGAAAUCGGCAUAAGCAAGGGAUUUCGGUAACACUCACUACCCCUAUUCGAGUCAUAGGCAUUCAUUAUGGUUUGGAUAAAUCCAUGACAUACUUAUGAAGAAAAAAAACUCCCUUUUUUGGAUGAGAACAAAACAUGUUUAGAACAUCCGUGAUGUAAUGUAUUUACUUUUAGUGUUCUCAACAGAAUAUGGGUGUAUGUAUGUUUUUGAUAUUCGGAACAUAAACUAGGUGAAUCAUGUUACUUGUUGUUAUGUACAUAAAUGAAAUAGGCAUGUUACCUGAAUAUGUAUCCUAGUUUUUCACCCCCUGAAUGUCAUCCUAAGUGAUUUUUGUUCCUAGAUGUCCCUUUGUGAUAUCUCUCCUUUGUGUUGCAUAUGCCUGCUUCUUAUACUGGUUGGGGGUUUGCAGAAACCCUUUCGCUUGCCAAAAUUAUUGAGUAACGCUCCUAGCUGAUUACUUUUGGAUUUAUGCCUCUAUUAAAGCUGCACUGAUUGUUUUGAUAAUGAUGUGUAACUGAAACAGCAUCAAUUCUGGUUUGUGUCUUUUGAAUUUUCUUUGUAACUCACGGCUGGUUAUCUGCAUGCUGAUUUUUUAAUCAUUUUAUUAUUUAUUCCCCUCCAUGCCACUUUAUUUCUUUUUGCAUCUGUUCUGAAUCUGAUUCACUGUUUUAAAGAUAUUAC
rnacentral:lncRNA from 1 species